CCAGGAACCAGGGGCAAAGACCAGAUUUUUCAUUUUUGCCAUCAUCCCUCAUGGGCGGAGGUUGACACCACCGCCCCUGCUUUCUCUGCCACCCCAGCGUUCCUGCUGAGAGCUGCCUGGGUGUUUUCAGAGUGUUGAAAUAGCAGAAUGCAGAGUCAGAGCAGGGGAGACAAACGAUCUGUUAUUGUACAGAGGAGGAAAAUGAGACUCAGAGAUGCUGAGGACCCAGCUCCUUGGUGGCAAAGCCGGUCUGAAAGCUCGGUCUCUAACCCUGAACUCUUUGAGAUUCUCUGGAGGGUUCUGUGUUUGUUUCUACGGCUGCUUCAACCACAAACAGCACACAUUUAUUUCCUUACGGAUCUGGAGGUCAGAAGUCUCAAGUGGUCUGCAGGGCUGUGUUCCUUCCGGAGGCGCUGGGGACAAUCUGUUUCUGUGCCUUUUCCAGCUUCCAGAGGCCACCCACAUCUUUUUGUUCACGACUCCCUUCCUCCAUCUUCAAAACCUGCAAAGCAGCAUCUUCAAACCUCUCUCUCUCUCCCUCUGCGUCCUUCUGUCAGACUCUGACCCUCUGCAUCCCUCUUAGAAGGGCCUUGUGAUGACAUCAGUCCCACCAGGAUAACCCAGGAUAAUCUCUCCAUCUCAAGAUCCUUACCUCGAUCACAUCUGCGAAGUCCCAUCUGCCUUAUAAGAUUAGCCCUGAGCUACCUGCUGCCAAUCCUCUUUUUGCUGAGGAAGACUGGCCCUGAGCUAACAUCCGUGUGCAUCCUCCUCUACUUUAUACGAGGGAUGUCUGCUACAGCAUGGCUUGCCAAGCGGUGCCAUGUCCACAUCCAGGAUCCAAGCCAGUGAACCCCGGGCCGCCGAAGCGGAACAUGCGCACCUAACUGCUGAGCCACCGGGCUGGCCCUUACUGGGGAUUUUUAAAACUUAAAUUCCGUGUUCUCAUUUUAAUUAGACAGUCAGUAACUCUGUGAGGUCAAGAAAACCUUUCUUCCACUGUCCUACUCUGAUGUGGUCAACACUGGAGACUUAGAAACCAGUCUCCUCUGCCUCCCACAGUUACCAGCAUGGAAAUAUGACCACAAUAAAUCGGCAAGAGGGAAUAAAAAGUGAUUCACCAAUCAUUACAUACAAUAUAAUCACACUUUUAUAAAAGGAUAAAAAAGUUUAUCCCCAUGUGUAUAGAAAAAUGUCCAGAAAAGCACGCAUUAAAGGGUCAAGAGGGUUGUUCUGAGUGGUGGGUGUAGACUUCCAUUUACCUUGCCACUAUUUUACUAAAAUGUAUUAAAUUCUCACCCUAAAUCUGAGACACUCUGCUAGACACCCACACUUUUCGGUUUUAUCUAGUAAUUUGCUCUAUGCGUCUUUCCUUACGAUUAGCUUGUAUUUUUUUAAUCAGAGCAGGAAAAGGGGGAGCUGUCUCUUCAUUGACAAAUGAAGUACUUAGCACAUAGUACUUAGAACCUGGUGGGUGCUAGGUAAUGGUGGCCAUUACUUUACCAUUCUGUGAAUCUUGGGUCUUCAUCUGCCGUAACUUCUUGAGCAACCAUUGUGACAACAGCAGCAAUGACAGCAAGUAUUUAUAUAGAGUGUUGAUUACGUGCCACGCUGUUCUGAUAUCCAUCGCAUGUGGGCCUCACGAGAGCUAUGAGGUGACUAUUAUUCCCAUUUUACACAUCAGAAAAUGGAGGCAGAAGUACAGUGGCUGCACCAUGGGCCGCCUCCCUCCACCCCCAGCCCAGCCUGGGACUCAGAGCAAUUUUCUUCACCUUCUCUACCCCAGCACCUGCUCUGAUGGGAACAACAGAAAUAGAUGCACAUACACGCACAUGCACACACACACACCCAGAAAUGGAUGGGGUGGGGCUGGCCUGGGUUGUUGUUGGUGACUCAGUCGGUCAGAGGAAAAGGCAGCGUAAUGCAGACAAAUACAAGAUAAUAAGUCUGGAGCCAAUGAACCGAAAGAUAGGGAGAGCACAUCUUAAUAAAGAGUCACGAGUCCCUCCAGCCUGGAAAGGGAUUUAGAGGUUACUGUGGAAAAAAAAAAUUUUUUUGAAGUCGUCAGCACCUUGUACUGCCAGAGUAAACUUGGGAAUCCGGGGGUCCCUGUGUCCACCCUGUGCUCUCCUCUCCCACGGAGGGAAGCCAGCAGUGGGUGGGUCUGGUCCUUCCGUCCUGUUGGGGCCUGGCCGGGAGCAGGGGGGGUCCUUUUUCUGCUGUGGGCGAAUGCUGAUACUGUGUGCAAAGCGGGCUGCUGAGUUUGAAUGAUGGGAUCGUGUACGUGGGCACAGUCACAAGGGCUGGGGUGCGGGAAAAGACGAGCUGCGGGCUCUCAGAGUAAGGGGGCUCAUGGUGGCUGGAGAACCUGGGAAGGAAGGUGAAACGGGAGUGACUUGCAGAUGGUUGGGGUGAAUGGAUGCGUCUCAAGGGCUAAGACUGGAAGGACUCAGACAAACAGGACAGCUGACAGCCAGAGGGAAGUCUACCAAGGCAGCAGUGUGUAUUUCCAUGCUUCGUUCCCAAGACGCACGAUGCUUUAAGUAGCCAUGUUGAGACAACCUGAGGUCUGGGGGAAAGUAGACUCUGACGCCAAACACACCAGCUUUGGGUCGUAUCCUUCCCGCUGAAUUCCUGAGUCAAUGGAAUUGAUGCCUUGCUGCUCAGAGCCUCAGUCCCCUCAUCUCUAAAAAGGGGACCAGAUUGGUGGCUGAGAGGAGAUGAUGUGUCUGCUCGAGCCAAGCCUUCCACUGGCCCCGCUGGACUUCAGACGCAUGCAGCCAUGCCUGCUGAACUGGUGGGGAGGGCGGGUGGAAGAUGACUCAGGGGCAGGAUGGUGUAGAAAAGCUUCCCAGGAGGCAGGGCAAAAAGGGUCAGCUGCAGCAAAUAAUCCAGGGACAGCGGCUCUGUGCUUGGGGGCAGUAGAGAACUGAGCACAGUGUGAUGCUCGUGGCUGAAACCACACCAGCGGGCAUUUCUGAGCCCAAAGAGCAGACCGAGAUAAUAUCAACAGCAAUAACAACAGUUAGUUCACUCUUCACACUUUAAAGGUGGAUAUUAUUAUCCUCAUUUUACAGAUGAGGAAACUGAGGCACAGAGAGGUUAAGUAAUUUACGUCAGGUCACCCACCCAGUAAGUGGCAGAGCUGGGAUUCAAACCGAGGUCCCCUGGCUAAAUUGCACAUGCUCUUAACCACUGCACAUAUAUGGCUCCACUGUUAGAAAUAAAACCUCGGUAUCAAAAUGAGACUGAGAAGCAAGAACAACUCUCUCCUAGACCACGAGCUAGCUUUGGCAUCUAAAGGCUUAGGAGGGCAACCAUCAGAGGGACUCUUUGGGGCCCAAAGGGGAGGCAGAGCCACCAGGGGAGGAGAACCCUACGGCAGGAAGGACUGGUGCCCAGCAGAGCAGCAGCGGCACGCAUGAAAACUAAAGGAGGGAGUGCAUCCUCGAGGAAUCUUCAGAGACCACGGGGCGUCAGAGCUGCCUGAGGAGAAAUUUGCAUGAGGCCAAGACUGCCCAGAUGCUCCACGACAGACCUAGGUCCUGAUGGUCUUCGUCAGCAUCCCCAUUUUACAGAUGAGGCAACUGAGGCCUGGAAAAAAUGGAGGUGACAGAACCCCCCUCAGAGGGCUUGGUGAGGACCCGCUGGGAUGAGGCAGGAGAACCUCCGUGCCCGCUGCUGCCUCAGUGAAGUACACACUUGCUACUGUUGUUCACGCUGACGAUCGCCUCCUGGGCAGUGGUGGUGCAGAGAAGAACCAGAGCAGCUGGCAACUCUUCCUCUUGGGGAAAGGAAGGAAGGAGAGGAGGGAGGGACAGAUGAAAACAUCCUGGUUUCCCCUGGACUGAGGGGUUUCCUCGUAUAUGUGACUUUCAGUGGUAAAACCAGGAACGUCCCAGGCAAAUGGGGCUGAUUAGUCACCCUAAAGAAAGGUCUAAUGGAGCACUAUUUAAUUCUUCAAAGAAAAAAUUAAUCAAAAAGAAAACAAAGAAAUAGAUUCAUGCUGCAGCAAGACUGACGGAGGUUAGAUCUCACACAGGACUUCCUGGCUGCUAAACAAAAGGCAAAGUUUGGGCAGGUCCUUUAGUGACACAGAAGGAAGCUCAGAGCCCAGGAGGGAGCCAGGAGCAAUUCUGAGCAUCCCUCUUGGGCUGCUGGUUGCUCCCUGUGACAGAUUCGGCUCGGUCUCUCCUCACCUGUAACCAUCAUUCGUGACAGAGCCAGCAGCACGUUUCCAAAUUCCAGCCAUCAGAGGCGUAUGGAGGAUGCUCAGCCCCAUUCUGACCGAGCAGUCGAGGGGAAGGCCUCUGCUUGGUGGCACCCAGCCUAAUCUCAGAGACAGUGUUCUGAUAGAGAGACUCAUGAUGGCCAUCUGGGCCGCAGACACAGGGCCUUAACUUCCAAUUCUGAGAGGCCUGGGGCAUGCGCCUCUUCCCUGCCAAAUCGUGCUAGGUCUUCCAUCCGGCAGAUUUACAGCAUAUUAACUGCAAAUGAAUGUCACGGCACAUCUCUGUGCUUCAGAGGAAACGAAGGCAGUUCUGAAGAGGAGGCUGCAGGACUCAGGCGGUCCUGGACCGUUUGCUAACCUGCUGAGACACACAGGGUGGGGCGGGGGCAAGGACGACCCUGCAGCCACUGUCUACAGAAGGUGCUGAAACGUGCAGGGAAUCUUGAAAAACAAAUCUGAGUGGCUCAGCCCAAACUAGGCACUGAUUCCUCUUGGAUCAAAUGGACUCACCCUGGUGCAAUCAGCUGUGGCCACAAGGGUGGAUCAUGCGGUACAAACAGUGCUGUCUGUUGGACAGGACCUGGGACAGGUGGACACUUCCAAAGGAGACAUGGGUUAACCAGCACGUCAACUUGAUCUCAGCCUCCGGUUGUUCUUUGCUAAGGAAGUGACAUGGCCUCGUGAUCAGUGUGGCUAAGAGGAUGAUCCUUGUCUGGUUUGAAGGGUCUUUGGGGGUCCCACAUUGCUUUAUUCUAUGUUGCAAUGGUCAUGUCUUGCUUUUAUCCUAACGCCCUAAGCACUCACUCUGUUGCCACAUGACAUCUCAUCCUCUCUCUCUCUCCUUCCUCACCCAAGUGGCCCGUUGCGGUACUUCUGUCCUCUUUUCUGAAUUAAUAUUCUUUUGGGGGACUCCGUGAGGUCUAGUUAUCUGUUUGGGUGAGAAGAAUUACUUAUUCUUCGUUCAAUUCUGAGCUGUAAACAGACUCCGCGUGCCAUGGGGAAAUGUAGCCGUGGUACUUUCUGACCAAUGCCGUUGCGUGUUCCCCCAGGUGCAGAAAGAGCAUGUGAUGGGCAUUGUACUCACUCCCUCUGCAGUGUUCUGUGGCCUUAGAAAUGGGGGACUUACGAUGCAGUUACUGCCCGCCUACUGUCUAGACAUGACAACGAGAAUGUCAUGAGUACACGAGGGUAACAGGUUUGUCACAAUGCACUUUCCACCAAAUGCCACCAGUUCUUCCCUGGGGCAUGUGGAGAAUUGCACUGCCUCACCCCAUUGAGGUUAGAUGUGGGCAGGUGACUUGUCAAAUGAAAGGUGAGCAGGAAUAAAACAUAUCACUUCUGAGUGGAAACUUUAAGAGCCAGCGUGGUUUUCCAUGGACUUUUUCCUCUAUCAUGGUGCCCGCAACACCCCAGAGUGGCUGCUCCAUCUAACUGGGUCCUGGAGAGAGGAGGAGAACCCCGAGGUGACCUGUAGUUGACUUUUGUUCAAGCUGUGGCAACGGGGGGCUGUUUGUUACCACGGUGUAACUUGGCUUAUCCUAACUGAUGUAUAGGAUAUGGGUAUACACAUAAAAGGAUUUCUUUCAGGAGUUUACUCAUCUACCCAUCCAUCUGUUCAAACAUAUAUUGUGUACUUACUGUGCAAAAAGUAUUUAAAUCAAGGAGAAAUAGAAGUGAUUGAAAAAAGUGGUGUCAAAUAGGACGUGUGAUGUCUUGUGUACAUGUGUAUGUGUCUAUAUAUACAUGUCUACAAAAUAACCAGAUUGAGUACUGACUAUGAGUGAGGCAUAGUGUGAUUUGCAUGAAUUAGCUUAUGCAGUUUGCUUUUCUUUAAAUUAGAACCAUAUUACAGUUUAGGGAAAAAACCUUGGGGCUCAGAGAGGUUCUGGAACUUACACAACAUUGCAUAGCUAAUAAGUAGGAGAUUUGGGUUUCAGAUCGAAGUGUGUCUGCCUCCAAACGACUUCACCACCACGCUAUCUUCUCCCUUUUCAAAUGCUAAGAUAGUUCUGUGUUUCUCCAGAGAACCACAAGAAAGCCCAGAAAAAAUAAAAACUCUGCCCUUUCAAGUCCUUGCAGCAGCCAAGCUCUUGGGUUUGCUUUGACAGGUUGUCUUCCUUUCAAAAUCAAAAUGAGGCAGCACAGAUGGAAAUAGAGGCCAGCUGUUUGGUGGAGCAAGAUACCUGCGCGCACGCCAGCAGGGGCCGGGCUGUUAUUCCAGGAGCCCCUGGCGUCGGCGGUUCUGCUCAUGCCUCAUCCCACUGUGCGUGCAUCCGCUCGGGCUGCGCCUUCCCCAAAUAAGGGAGAAUCUCUACAAAUUGCAUGUUUUUAUGCAGACUUAGGAAAAUGUGAGGGAUUACGGUAAGAACGGACUGAUACCAUCAUUAAUCAACAACCAGGGAGAGAAAAGGAAGGGAUGAAAAUGUAGGUUCUUGUAUUAGGAGAAGAUCUGUGGGAAGAGAUUAGAAAUAUCGAGAAGCUGGAAAGUGGUUUCUUUUUUUUUGCAAAUGCUUUUCCAUUCUUGAAGUUUUAAAAGUUGUGGGGGAGUUUCCUGGCCACAGAGAGAAAGCCAAUAAAGGCAGCCCCCAAGGCAUUCAUUCGUUCAUUCAUUUGAAAAUCACUUUCUCAGUGCUCACUGUGUGCAACUGGGAUGUGAAGAGAGAAACAAAAUUUUAUGUAACAGACACUUAAAUAAAACCUACUAUGUGCCAGGCACUGCUCUAAGCAUUUUACCCGUAUUAACUCAUUUAAGGCUCACAAAAACCCAGAGAGGUAGAUACUCUUAUUAUCUCCAUUUCGCAGAAGAGGAAACUGAGGCACAGAGAAGUUUAAUUACCUUGCCCGAAGUCAUGCAGCCUUUGAGAUUUGAAGUGCGGCAGGUCUGGCUCCAACACUGUGCUCUUUAUUGCACUGCCUCUCACGGGGUCUUGGUCCUCAAGCUCACAGGUUGGUAGGGAAGAGGAACUUAGACACAAAACAGUCAUUUUAAUAAUGUGAUACCUAUUUUGAUGGAGACAUCCAAGGAGAAAGAAUUCAGUUCUGCUUGGGGACAUCGGGGAGAGCAUCACUGAGAAAGAGAUCCUUAAAUGCCAUCACGCAUUUGUUAGCCACGUGGGCAAGUGCAGGAAGGGGCCCCCUAGGUGGAGGGACCAGCUUGAGCAAAGGCACAGAGGCGAGAGGCAGCCUAGGCUGAGCAGGAAAGCGCUGAGGCAUGCAACAUGCAAAGGAGGGCAGAAGAGACAAGCAAGGAGGGUAGAUUGGGCAAAACGAGAGAGGCUCUUAUAUUCCAACUAAGGCAUUUCUGGGGUUGGGCGUCUGCCUUCUGCAAUGCUGAUACACACAGAAAAAAGCAUCAGGUUGCAUCAGGUCUCCCAGCUGUACUUUAAAAAGGUGCCUGGCAUCAGUGGGGAGGGCUGGCUGGGAAGGAGGGUAGCAGAUCUGUUCAGAGAGAAGCCUUUAGAAUCAGACAGCUCCGAGCUUGACUCUCAGCUCUCAGUUUCUACUCAUGUGACCUCAGGCAACCUACUGGACCUCCUGGAGCCUCGGCUGCCAAGUGGGUCGUUGCAAGGACCGUACAGAGUGGCUGCUGGGUCUGUUGCUGGCACGCUUUUUCUUGGAUCUGGAUGUAGGUAUACUAUUUAAGAGGAUAAUACUCUACAAGAUGAAGGGGGAAAUAUGACACUCUUGACCUGUCAUGAACAGGGUUGUUUCCCCUAUCCCAUAGUGGGAAAGAUUCAUUUGCUCUGAUCCCACACUGGGAUCCCCUCAAGACCAAAUGCAAGGUCAAGUUGCUCUGUUGUCAGCAGAGGUGGCAUGGGAAACCAACUCAACACUCUUGGCUUUAUAAUCAAGGGCUCUGAUCUCUCGCUUCUCAAACUUUAACGUGCACACAAAUCACCCCAGAUCUUGUUAAAAGGCAUCACAGGAAAAAAAAAUGUGUAACUAUUUAUGGUGAUGGAUGUUAACCAGACUUAUCGUGGAGAUCAUUUCCCAACAUAUAUAAAUAUCGAAUCAUUA
rnacentral:lncRNA from 1 species